UAACCUGCCCAAGAGAUCGGGAUAACACCUGGAAACAGAUGCUAAUACCGGAUAACAACAGAUGAUGCCUAUCAACUGUUUAAAAGAUGGUUCUGCUAUCACUCUUGGAUGGACCUGCGGUGCAUUAGCUAGUUGGCAGGGUAACGGCCUACCAAGGCGAUGAUGCAUAGCCGAGUUGAGAGACUGAUCGGCCACAUUGGGACUGAGACACGGCCCAAACUCCUACGGGAGGCAGCNGUC
rnacentral:rRNA from 1 species